rnacentral:misc_RNA from 2 species
CCGAGUACCGGGUCUUCGGGCCCAUACUCCCACCCUUUGUGUACCAACCAUGUUCGUUGCCUUGGUGGGGUUGAUCCCUGGGCCUUACCGCCCGGGGGGACCCGCCAGGGGAACACCUUUAAACUCUUGUUAACUGUGUCGUCUGAUAACAAGCAAAUAAAUUA